ACUGCGGCGGCGUUGACUGAGGGGGCGCCACCAGGCGCCGUCACGUGCAUUCGCGGGGGCGUCGGCGCGGGUCGCGUUUCUUCAGACACCCAGGGAGACAGACGUGGGGCAGAACUCAUGGGCUGAAGUGAGAGAUGGCUGGGGCCCAGGCGAGCGACCGAGCAGGGUCCGAACAGAGCCAGCGAGGGACCCCGGGCUGUGCUUGAGGCCCGACGACGCGCCAUAGCCCGGCAGCGCCGCAGCUCAGGCCUCUGCGAAUCUGUGGUCCACACGCUGAUAAACUUAGAGCCCUCUGCACUGGGGCAGAAACCGAAAGGCAUGACCCAGACCGAGAAAGAUAUUUGCAUACUGAGAAAGUGUGAAACACAAUUGUCGAGACUAAAAGGAGACACUGAGAGGAUACGCCAAUCAGAGACGGGGUUUCACCAUGUUGCCCAGGCUGGUCUUGAACUCCUGAGCUCAAGCAGUCUGCUCAUCUCGGCCUCCCAAAGUGCUGCGAUUACAGGAGUGAGCCUCUGUGCCCAGCCUGGUUUAGAGUCAGCUCCAUACAUACACAUCUUUGGGAGUUCAACUCUUUUCAUCGACAAGUCGAGAGAACAGCCACCACGUCUGCAUCUAUUCGAUGUCAGCAUCCCCACCUGCAGAUGAGGGGAAGGUCCCUUGCCCAAGGUUGCCAAAGUUGGCAGUGCUGAGCUUUGAGCCAGGUCUUUCCUUUCUACCCCUCUGCCUGCCCUGCCUUCCACAUGGGAGCUUCCUCCCCAUCCUGCCUUUGUUGAUGCUGACAGAUCAACUUGGUGAAUUACAUCCUUCAUUCAAUAGACACAACAGAGUCAUGUAGACCUCAUCUCUGGGACCCAGCCCUGUGCUAAAGAUACCAAAGAUGAUGAGAACAUGGCCCCUGACCUGAAGAGGUUAUAAUCCAAUGGUAAACAGGUACAUAAAGAAAUAAAAAAAACUAAGGCCAAGGCAGGAGGAUCGCCUUGGGUAACUGUCCAAGGGGUUCACCUUGCCCACCGCCUAGACAGAGCCGAUUCAUCAAGACAGGGUAACUGCAAUAGAGAAAGGGUAAUUCAUGCAGGGCUGGCUGUGCAGGAGACUGGAGUUUUAUUAUAACUCAAAUCAGCCUCCCUGAGCAUUCGGGGAGCAGAGUUUUUAAGGAUAACUUGGUGGGUGGGUGGAAGCCAGUGAGCCCGGAGCGCUGAUUGGUCAGAGAUGAAAUCAUAGGGAGUUGAAGCUGUCUUCUUGCGCUGAGUCAGUUCCUGGGUGGGGGCCCCAAGAUCAGAUGAGCCAGUUUAUUGAUCUGGGUGGUACCAGCUAAUUCAUCAAAUGCACGGUCUGCAAAAUAUCUCAAGCACUGAUUUUGGGAGCAGUUUAGGGAGAGUCAGAAUCUUGCAACCUCAGCUGCAUGACUCCUAAACCAUAAUUUCUAAUCUGUGGCUAAUGUGAGUCCUACAAAGGCAAUCUAGUCCCCAGGCAAGAAGGAGGUCUGCUUUGGGAAAGGGCUGUUACUGUCUUUACCAUCUUUGUUUAAAUUAUAAACCAUAAACUAAGUUUCUCCCAAAGUUAGUUCAGCCUACACCCAGGAAUGAUCAAGGACAGCUUGGAGGUUAGAAGCAAGGUGGAGUCGGUUAAGUUAGAUCUAUCUCACUGUCUCAGUCAUAAUUUUGUGAAGGCGAUUUCAUCAGGAAUUCAAGACCAGCCUGGGCAACAUGGCAAAAAAUAUUUAUUUUUAAAAAAGUAUUUUUUUAAUGGAUCUAUUUUUUUUUAAAAAAAGAUCUAUUUUUUAAAAGUAUCUAUUAAAAAAAUACAAAAAAUUAGCUGGGUGUGGUGAUGUGUGCCUGUACUCUCAGCUACCUGGGAGGUUGAGGUGGGAGGAUCACCUAAGCCCAGAAGGUCGAGGCUGCAGUGAACCAUGAUCGAACCGCUGCACUCCAGCCUGGGUGACAGACAAUUUAAGAUUAAGUUUGAGACUCUGUCUCAAAAAAAGACAAAGAAGGAAAGAGAGAGAGAAAGAGACAGAGAAAGAAAGAAAACGGCAUAUCUCUAUUGUUCAGAUGAGAAAAAUGAGGCCCCAG